rnacentral:rRNA from 1 species
UACGAAGGGGGCUAGCGUUGCUCGGAAUCACUGGGCGUAAAGCGCACGUAGGCGGAUUGUUAAGUCAGGGGUGAAAUCCUGGAGCUCAACUCCAGAACUGCCUUUGAUACUGGCGAUCUUGAGUUCGGGAGAGGUGAGUGGAACUGCGAGUGUAGAGGUGAAAAUUCGUAGAUAUCGCAAGAACACCAGUGGCGAAGGCGCUCACUGGCCCGAUACUGACGCUGAGGUGCGAAAGCGUGGGGAGCAACAGGAUUA